rnacentral:rRNA from 1 species
CSGUGGCAKRMCGGCCAGACUCCUACGGGAGGCAGCAGUAGGGAAUCUUCCGCAAUGGACGAAAGUCUGACGGAGCAACGCCGCGUGAGUGAUGAAGGUUUUCGGAUCGUAAAGCUCUGUUGUUAGGGAAGAACAAGUACCGUUCGAAUAGGGCGGUACCUUGACGGUACCUAACCAGAAAGCCACGGCUAACUACGUGCCAGCAGCCGCGGUAAUACGUAGGUGGCAAGCGUUGUCCGGAAUUAUUGGGCGUAAAGGGCUCGCAGGCGGUUUCUUAAGUCUGAUGUGAAAGCCCCCGGCUCAACCGGGGAGGGUCAUUGGAAACUGGGGAACUUGAGUGCAGAAGAGGAGAGUGGAAUUCCACGUGUAGCGGUGAAAUGCGUAGAGAUGUGGAGGAACACCAGUGGCGAAGGCGACUCUCUGGUCUGUAACUGACGCUGAGGAGCGAAAGCGUGGGGAGCGAACAGGAUUAGAUACCCUGGUAGUCCACGCCGUAAACGAUGAGUGCUAAGUGUUAGGGGGUUUCCGCCCCUUAGUGCUGCAGCUAACGCAUUAAGCACUCCGCCUGGGGAGUACGGUCGCAAGACUGAAACUCAAAGGAAUUGACGGGGGCCCGCACAAGCGGUGGAGCAUGUGGUUUAAUUCGAAGCAACGCGAAGAACCUUACCAGGUCUUGACAUCCUCUGACAAUCCUAGAGAUAGGACGUCCCCUUCGGGGGCAGAGUGACAGGUGGUGCAUGGUUGUCGUCAGCUCGUGUCGUGAGAUGUUGGGUUAAGUCCCGCAACGAGCGCAACCCUUGAUCUUAGUUGCCAGCAUUCAGUUGGGCACUCUAAGGUGACUGCCGGUGACAAACCGGAGGAAGGUGGGGAUGACGUCAAAUCAUCAUGCCCCUUAUGACCUGGGCUACACACGUGCUACAAUGGGACAGAACAAAGGGCAGCGAAACCGCGAGGUUUAGCCAAUCCCACAAAUCUGUUUCUCAGUUUCGGAUCGCAGUSUGCAASUCGACUGCAUGGAAGCUGGCAGUCGCUAGUAUUSCGCMAGRAAGUCSARAGAMUCSRAGAAA